rnacentral:rRNA from 1 species
AGUGAACGCUGGCGGUAGGCCUAACACAUGCAAGUCGAACGGCAGCACAGUAAGAGCUUGCUCUUACGGGUGGCGAGUGGCGGACGGGUGAGGAAUACAUCGGCAUCUACUUUUUCGUGGGGGAUAACGUAGGGAAACUUACGCUAAUACCGCAUACGACCUACGGGUGAAAGCAGUGGAUCUUCGGACCUUUCGCGAUUGAAUGAGCCGAUGUCGGAUUAGCUAGUUGGCGGGGUAAAGGCCCACCAAGGCGACGAUCCGUAGCUGGUCUGAGAGGAUGAUCAGCCACACUGGAACUGAGACACGGUCCAGACUCCUACGGGAGGCAGCAGUAGGGAAUAUUGGACAAUGGGCGCAAGCCUGAUCCAGCCAUACCGCGUGGGUGAAGAAGGCCUUCGGGUUGUAAAGCCCUUUUGUUGGGAAAGAAAAGCAGCAGGUUAAUACCCCGCUGUUCUGACGGUACCCAAAGAAUAAGCACCGGCUAACUUCGUG